rnacentral:rRNA from 1 species
AUUGAACGCUGGCGGCAGGCCUAACACAUGCAAGUCGAACGAGUGGCGGAAGGGUGAGUAAUGUAUGGGAAACUGCCUGGUGGAGAGGGACAACAACUGGGAACUGUUGCUAAUACCGCAUACCAUCAGAUGUGCCCAGAUGGGAUUAGGUUGUUGGUGGGGUAACGGCGCACCAAGGCGACGAGCCCUAGCUGGUCUGAGAGGAUGACCAGCCACACUGGAACUGAGACACGGUCCAGACUCCUACGGGAGGCAGCAGUGGGGAAUAUUGCACAAUGGGCGCAAGCCUGAUGCAGCCAUGCCGCGUGUAUGAAGAAGGCCUUCGGGUUGUAAAGUACUUUAAGCUGGGAGGCGUUACCCGCAGAAGAAGCACCGGCUAACUCCGUGCCAGCAGCCGCGGUAAUAC